rnacentral:rRNA from 1 species
GACGAACGCUGGCGGCGUGCUUGACACAUGCAAGUCGAACGGAAAGGCCCUGCUUUUGUGGGGUGCUCGAGUGGCGAACGGGUGAGUAACACGUGAGUAACCUGCCCUUGACUUUGGGAUAACUUCAGGAAACUGGGGCUAAUACCGGAUAGGAGCUCCUGCUGCAUGGUGGGGGUUGGAAAGUUUCGGCGGUUGGGGAUGGACUCGCGGCUUAUCAGCUUGUUGGUGGGGUAGUGGCUUACCAAGGCUUUGACGGGUAGCCGGCCUGAGAGGGUGACCGGCCACAUUGGGACUGAGAUACGGCCCAGACUCCUACGGGAGGCAGCAGCGGGGAAUAUUGCACAAUGGGCGGAAGCCUGAUGCAGCAACGCCGCGUGCGGGAUGACGGCCUUCGGGUUGUAAACCGCUUUCGCCUGUGACGAAGCGUGAGUGACGGUAAUGGGUAAAGAAGCACCGGCUAACUACGUGCCAGCAGCCGCGGUGAUACGUAGGGUGCGAGCGUUGUCCGGAUUUAUUGGGCGUAAAGGGCUCGUAGGUGGUUGAUCGCGUCGGAAGUGUAAUCUUGGGGCUUAACCCUGAGCGUGCUUUCGAUACGGGUUGACUUGAGGAAGGUAGGGGAGAAUGGAAUUCCUGGUGGAGCGGUGGAAUGCGCAGAUAUCAGGAGGAACACCAGUGGCGAAGGCGGUUCUCUGGGCCUUUCCUGACGCUGAGGAGCGAAAGCGUGGGGAGCGAACAGGCUUAGAUACCCUGGUAGUCCACGCUGUAAACGGUGGGUACUAGGUGUGGGGUCCAUUCCACGGGUUCCGUGCCGUAGCUAACGCUUUAAGUACCCCGCCUGGGGAGUACGGCCGCAAGGCUAAAACUCAAAGGAAUUGACGGGGCCCCGCCCAAGCGGCGGAGCAUGCGGAUUAAUUCGAUGCAACGCGUAGAACCUUACCUGGGUUUGACAUGGAUCGGGAGUGCUCAGAGAUGGGUGUGCCUCUUUUGGGGUCGGUUCACAGGUGGUGCGUGGCUGUCGUCAGCUCGUGUCGUGAGAUGUUGGGUUAAGUCCCGCAACGAGCGCAACCCUUGUUCACUGUUGCCAGCACGUUAUGGUGGGGACUCAGUGGAGACCGCCGGGGUCAACUCGGAGGAAGGUGGGGAUGACGUCAAGUCAUCAUGCCCCUUAUGUCCAGGGCUUCACGCAUGCUACAAUGGCUGGUACAGAGAGUGGCGAGCCUGUGAGGGUGAGCGAAUCUCGGAAAGCCGGUCUCAGUUCGGAUUGGGGUCUGCAACUCGACCUCAUGAAGUCGGAGUCGCUAGUAAUCGCAGAUCAGCAACGCUGCGGUGAAUACGUUCCCGGG